rnacentral:misc_RNA from 1 species
UUUAAAGAUUGAAGUUGGAAAAGUUUAUAUAAAUCGUUUACUUACGAUCAAUCGGCGAUGCCAGGUCUUGAUUUUUUUCUUGGGGGUUUCUCUCGUACGUCUAUCCGUGGUGGAUGUCAAAAACGAACUGAAAUGCUUGGACAGUUUAUUCUGCAAGGUUAUAGAACCUAAGCACCUUAGUACUCGCGCAGGUAGAAAACCCGUUCCCUUUCUACAAGAAACGCUGUAGCGACCGUAAUAAUUUGAAUUUCGAUUUAAAAAUUUGAGAGAAUGUUUAGAACAGUGUAUACUAUACGAUAAUGCAAAAAAAAAAAAAACAAUUUUUUGAAAAUUUCACACUGAGACGAUCCCUUAAGAGCCUACUCAAUAAAAUCAAGAAAUCUGUACGAUCAACUAAUCGUCCUUUAUCUCAAGUAAGCCGACGCCUACAUGAAGCCCAACUCAUCAAAAUGAAAAAAGCAGACGUUCCCAAUCAAAUUGAAAUUAUCAAAACUAAAAUCAAUGAAGCUGGGAUUGAGAAAGUGAUACGAGUGAAGUACAAGUCAUAUAUUUUGAGAGAUCAAGCACCAGACAACAUUGUUUUCCUACAGGACAAGUCAAUAAUACAAAUAGAAAGAAUGACAAUUAUAUCGAAAAAUCCUGAUAUGGUGACAAUAGAGGGUAAAGAAUUGAGAAAAAAGAAACCUUUAUAUAAUUAUCCUAGCAAUUCGAAACAUGUACGAAUGUGGGAGCUCCACCUUCGUCCGUCAGCCAACACAAGAUCCUGGUGCAUUGACUAUAUAAAUACAAAAAUGAUGAAAUUAACCUUAUCACUCUGUCCAGAUGGCGUAAAAAAAACGUUCGCUUUCUCUCUUCUACAUACGUAAUACCUAGACUAUGCUUUGCACAGCAACUGUCUGAACUUUUUGACAUUCAAAUUAAUUCUAACAUGUUGAUUGAAACAAGGGAAAUUUCUCGCUAAGAUUGAAAAUCGUAUCAGAAAUUUAUGAAUUAUCCAACAUUAAAUCUGAAAAAUCAAAAAUUCCAAAAAGUUCCUUGCGUUACAAUGAUUUUUAUAUGACACUCAUGUUCAUGUUAUUUUCACAAGACUAAUUGUAAGGUGAGAGACAUCCAUCAAUUGAAUUUAGAAUUGAAUCCCUUAAUUCUUGAAACCAAAUAGAAAUUAAUUUUCUAUCAAUUUACAUUGAAAAUUUUUGAACAGAAAAUCAGUUUUUAACUAUCUUUAGGGAUCAAGGGAUCCAAUCCUGAAGUCAACACACGGAUGUCUUUAAUCUUAAUAUACUUUUAAUACUACCCUCAAAUAUGAAUUCUGUGAAUUAUAUCGUUUCUGUACUAUAUCCAUUCCUAUCCCUGUCCCAUAUCCUGUAAGUAUCAUUACCUAUAAUGCAAGGAGCAUUUCGUAACUGCGGAUUUUUCACAUGUAAUGUUGUAUAAUUCCUAAAUUCCCCAUUUAAUUUCCAAUCUCACGGUAAGAUUUUCUUUGGUUCAAAUAGCACUGUCAAGAAAAUAAAAAAUCAUUGCAAUAGAAAAAAAUGUACAAUUUUCGGUUUUGAUAUAGGCACUUAUUGAAAAAAAAAGACGAAACAGCGAAAAAAGGAACUUUAUCUUGAAACUUAUAUCGCUCCAUAAAAGAAAAUUAUUUCGGAUCAUGAAUCAUUCUUCAUACCAUAUUACUGCUAUUUGAAAACAGCCUGAACGUCACACACCCUUAUGGACCUAACAUACACGAGUAUAGAUAGUGUAUGUAUGUAUAAGCGGCGAGUCUGCGAUUUUAGAUUAGGUACGGGAGAAAGCCCGCCAAAUUCGCCAUUGCCGGCGUUGACGCAUAACGACAUGACAACAUAACGUGUUCCUCGAGGAAAACCUUCGGUUUUCGGUAAAAUGUCGGGGAUGAAAAUUGAAAGAGACCAAAAAAGACGGUACUUUCACAAUCGACUGCGUACUAUGUAGCUGGAUACGAUACGACCAUGAGAAGGGACACAUGUUGGCGAAAUUUGCACCACCACCAUACGGAAACAAAACAGCUAAUAAAUUAUUAGAAUCAUUGAUGAAAUCACAAAGCCCUGCUUUGCCGAAUUGGCCAGAAUAUGUCGUAGAACUUGUUGGUCAUGCAGACACAUAUGAGAAAUCCAUUGAAAGACUAGGCAUUUUGCAAAGCGAUGAAUUUGCUUAUACAACAGAUUCUGACAACACAAGACAAGAAAAGGCAUCUCAAAUAACUGAAAAAAUAAAGAAACAGAGCUUAGAAAAAAUCAUGGAAGUGCCAAGACUUGAGAGCGAUGAUUCAGGUGAAUAGGAAAACGAUACGAGGCAAGAUGAUGAGGCGUGCAAUGGAACCCGCGCGCCGAUGUGACGUGCCGCGCUAGAUAAAUUAACUCUUUUCCUCCAAUAAUAAUAAUUUCUCCAUCAAUUAAAAAUACGUUAUGGGUAAAAAUUUUGACGUAGAAUACGAUGGUUGUGCUGAGAACUCGCUACGAGGUUGGGGCAAUUGUUAAAAAUCGAUUGAAAGAUUUUAAUUGUUUAUAACAGUAUAAAUUUCGGAAUAAUCGUUAAUAAAAGAAUUGUUGUAAUAAAAUUCAUUUUAUUAGCUUUGAGAUGAAAAAACGAACUUUCCAGCUCAAAUAGAACCAGCGUUAUGAAUUUUUGAACGUGAGUCUUCCAAGCCAAAAAACACCAAGUUAUCAAAUUUUCGAUGCCCUCUAUUUUACGAAAUACGUCAAAUAAAAAAUCCUCUAAUACGUAUCCCUAUUUUUUCGGUAUAGAACCCGUAAAAAAAAUUUCAGCUAAUUCGAAAAUGUGUCGGUCACAAAGGUGUUCGGUUGUAAAAGAAUGUCCCAUUUACAUUAAAACAUAUCGCGCAAUAUUAGUUUUACACAGCACGAAGUAUUUUCGAAAUGAUUUCAUAAAUAUCACUAUUCACCAUUUGUAGAUAUUUGGAAAUAUGUUCGAAAAAUACGAUUGAAACAAAACGGAUACGAAUUGUUGUGGUCUCGUUUUAUGAAGCAUCGCUACGACCUUGCAUGACUAUUCUUCGACAUAGGUAUCGAAAUCAUUCUGAAAUUGUACAUCGCUUGUUACACACAACUCUACUGAUAAUAAUGAAAUAAUUUUAUGUUCGAAGCUAUUUUACUAAUGAAAAGGGUUUCAAAAAAUGAUUAUAUAUAAUAUUGGAACACUUUAUUCAUGUUACUAUGGAUAUAUGAAACAAUUGUUGACAUCGACGUUGAGGAUUAUUUUUAUACCCUCUGAAAUAUUAAAUACAAGGAAAUAGUAUCCGAGAUUCGAGGUAACUAUGAAGCUGCGGGUUGUGCGAAACAGUUCCUUCUCCC